CAGUGUCAGCAGUCCCAGGGGCCCCAGCCAGCCCAGCCACCCCACAUCCCCAUUCUGACAGUGUGUGGAGAGUGGUUCCUUCACACCAGGCAGGGCCCGAGCCUUGUGAGAGACAGGAACUGUGACCUGGUCCUGUUUCUACUAAGAAGCAAGCCUGGCUGAGCCAUGAACCUGGGGACAGAACAGCCAGUGUUUGUUAAAAACCCUGGAUUGAGAUCACGGCAAAGGGACACAACGUGGCUCUCCCAUGGGGAUCCAAGCAGUCUCUACAGCCUGACCAAGGCAGCCAGGCUGCACACAGACAUCACCAUCUACGGACAUACCAACUUGAACGUACCCGAUUUCAUCUAAAGAGACACCACCCUAUGACUGGAACCCACUUGACAAGCACUGUGAUGGCAAGGACCACAGCUCACUAACACACUGAGGCUGCUUCACCAGGCAGGUGCUCCCCCUCGGCAGAAGCCACCAGCUUUGUCUUUGUGUGAUCCACAGUAGGUGCUGAGCUCAGGACUGUGGAUGGCGCUGAAUUUUGCUGUUUGCUGCUGAUCCUGGCCCAGUGCUGGGCACAUAGUAGCUGCCAAAUAAAUACUCAGUGAUUGCCCAAGUUAAGAGAUGUUAGAUGAGUAAAUAAAUGGGUUCCCCACAAAAUGCAAUCCUGCAGCUCCCAUCCUGUUGACACUUAAGUCCUGAGGCCUUGGGCAGCUCUGCUUCCUCAUCUGGAGCAUGGAAAGUUGGGGCAGAUUUAGUUAAAUCUCUGCAUCUGGGGAAAGACCAUACACCGUCCGCAGGGACCACUGUAUUUCACUAAGUACGGAGUGAACAACUUGCAUAAGCAGGACAGCUGAGCUCCCAUAAUGCUCAUCGUCACCAGAGGUGGCUAUGGGAGAAAGGUGGUGACCAGCAUGUGACUGCUAGGAGCCAAGGUGUGAGCUGGAGAGCAGUGGUGGGGAAGCACUGAUACUUCUUGGCAGGUUCUUCUUAGUCACUGUCCUGGUCCCUGAGAUACA